rnacentral:rRNA from 1 species
UCCCUACGGGACGCAGCAGUGAGGAAUAUUGGUCAAUGGGCGGGAGCCUGAACCAGCCAAGUCGCGUGAGGGAAGACGGUCCUACGGAUUGUAAACCUCUUUUGCCGGGGAGCAACGGGGUCCUUGCGAGGGCCCGAUGAGAGUACCCGGAGAAAAAGCAUCGGCUAACUCCGUGCCAGCAGCCGCGGUAAUACGGAGGAUGCGAGCGUUAUCCGGAUUUAUUGGGUUUAAAGGGUGCGUAGGCGGGCUUUUAAGUCAGCGGUAAAAAUUCGGGGCUCAACCCCGUCCGGUCGUUGAAACUGGGG